rnacentral:rRNA from 1 species
UACGUAGGGGGCAAGCGUUGUUCGGAAUUACUGGGCGUAAAGGGCUCGUAGGCGGCCAACUAAGUCAGACGUGAAAUCCCUCGGCUUAACCGGGGAACUGCGUCUGAUACUGGGUGGCUUGAAUCCGGGAGAGGGAUGCGGAAUUCCAGGUGUAGCGGUGAAAUGCGUAGAUAUCUGGAGGAACACCGGUGGCGAGGGCGGCAUCCUGGACCGGUAUUGACGCUGAGGAGCGAAAGCCAGGGGAGCAAACGGG